UACGUAGGGCGCAAGCGUUGUCCGGAAUUAUUGGGCGUAAAGAGCUCGUAGGUGGCUUGUCACGUCGGGUGUGAAAGCUUGGGGCUUAACUCCAGGUCUGCAUUCGAUACGGGCUGGCUAGAGGUAGGUAGGGGAGAACGGAAUUCCUGGUGUAGCGGUGAAAUGCGCAGAUAUCAGGAGGAACACCGGUGGCGAAGGCGGCUUCCUGGUCCAGCACCGACGUUCAGGCACGAAAGCGUGGGGAGCAAACAGG
rnacentral:rRNA from 1 species